rnacentral:rRNA from 1 species
UACGGGGGGAGCAAGCGUUGUUCGGAUUUACUGGGCGUAAAGGGCGCGUAGGCGGUCAGCGCAAGUCAGUUGUGAAAUCUCCGGGCUUAACCCGGAAAGGUCAACUGAUACUGUGCGACUAGAGUGCGGAAGGGGCAACUGGAAUUCUCGGUGUAGCGGUGAAAUGCGCAGAUAUCGGGAGGAACACCAAUUGCGAAGGCAGCUUGCUGGGACGGUACUGACGCUGAGGCGCGAAAGCGUGGGGAGCAAACAGG